GAGGAUAUAGCUCAAGCGGUAGAGUACAUGCUUAGCAUUCACGAGGUCCUGGGUUCAAACCCCAAUACCUCCU
rfam:Camelus ferus unplaced genomic scaffold scaffold739, whole genome shotgun sequence.